AGGUAAGAAUGUAAGGGUGUAUGGUGGAUGCCUUGGCUCCAAGAAGCGAUGAAGGACGUGUUAUGGCUGCGAUAAGUUUCGGCGAGGUGCCAAAUAACCUUUGACCCGUAAAUUUCCGAAUGGGGAAACCCUCCUGUCAUUGGCAGGAAUCUACGUAUGUAGAUGCGCACCCAGCGAAGUGAAACAUCUCAGUAGCUGGAGGAAUAGAAAGCAAUAGACGGAACUUUCUUUCUGAACGGAUGCUUAGCAUCUCGUUCUUGAUUUAUCUUGGACGGUGGUGCGAAAGUACCAUUACGUUCAGGAAGAAGGUUCUUGCGAUUCCCUGAGUAGCGGCGAGCGAAACGGGAACAGCCCAAACCAUUGAUGUUUACAUCAGUGGGGUUGUAGGGCAAAAACGGCAUUUAGUUGCAAAGAGUUACAAAACGUAUGUAUAGAAAAAUGAGUUGGAAAGCUCGACCCCAGUAGGUAAUAGUCCUGUAUUCGAAAUGCAUAUAUCUCUUUUGUUUUUGUUCCUGAGUAGUUCGAGACAUGAAUAGCUCGAAUGAAUCCACCAGUACUAACUGGUAAGGCUAAAUAUUCUUGGAGACCGAUAGUGAACAAGUACCGUGAGGGAAAGGUGAAAAGAACCCCGGAGAGGGGAGUGAAAUAGAUCUGAAACCAUACACCUACAAGGAGUCGGAGCCUGGGAUUUAUCCUGGGUGACGGCGUGCCUAUUGAAGAAUGAGCCGGCGAGUGUACCUUUGUCCUUUGUCUAAGUGGUAGUCCCACGGAGGCACAGUGAAAGCGAGCGUGAAUAGCGCGAAUAUAGGGCAGGGGUACGACCCGAAGCGUGAUGAGCUUACCAUGAGCAGGGUGAAGCGACUGUAAUAGGUCGUGGAGGCCCGAACCCGUUAGCCGUACAAAACUAUGGGAUGACUUGUGGUAAGGAGUGAAAAGCUUAUCGAAUUACGUAAUAGCUGGUUCUCUCCGAAACAGCUUUUGGGUUGGCGUCGUGUGGUCCCCCUGGGGGUAGAGCACUGGAAAGAAACGACAGGGAGAAAUCUCGCGUUUCUUAUCAAACUCCGAAUACCAGUGGAUUAUAGCACGGCAGUUAGACUACGGGGGAGAAGCUCCGUUGGUCGAAAGGGAAACAGCCCAGAUCGCCAGUUAAGGUCCCUAAAUAUAUACUCAGUGCAACUUGAGGAGGUGAGGAUUCUCAAACAGCCAGGAGGUUGGCUUAGAAGCAGCCAUCCUUUAAAGAAAGCGUAACAGCUCACUGGUCGAGAGUCCUUGCGCCGAAGAUGAUCGGGGCUCAAGUAUAUUACCGAAACUGCGGAUUUCCAUGAUUUAUCAUGGGAGUGGUAGGAGAGCGUCCUUCUCUGCGAUGAAUCCAAGGCGAGAGCCACGGUGGAGCGAGGAGGAGUGAGAAUGCCGGCACAAGUAACCGCAAGACGGGUGAGACCCCCGUCCGUCGAAAUACCAAGGUUUCCUUUGCUAUGUUGAUCAGCGAAGGGUUAGUCGGUCCUAAGGGAAUCCCGAAUGGGGGACCCGAUGGAUAGCAGGUUAAUAUUCCUGCACACUGUUAUGUUCCUAUGGAGGGACGGAGCGUUGUACUUAUAGCAUCUUAUUGGAUUGGUGCUGGAGCAUUGAGGAAGUCACGUAGGCAAAUCCGCGUGGCAAUAUUCCGAGGUGAGUCUGAAUGUGCGGCUACGGCCAAGCAAAUAUAAGGAGCACGCUUCCAAGAAAAACUUCGUUUGGGUUAAGCAUAACAGUUCCGUACCGCAAACCGACACAGGUGGUAAGGUCGAGAAGACCAAGGCGAACGAGUGAGAGGUCCUCAAGGAACUCGGCAAAAAAGCGGCCGUAACUUAGGGAUAAGGCCUGCCCUUCAGCAAUGAGGGGCCGCAGCGAAAGAUUUCCUGGCGACUGUUUAACAAAAACACAGCUCUCUGCGAACACGUAAGUGGAUGUAUAGAGGGUGACGCCUGACCUAUGCUGGAAGGUUAAAUAUGGGGGGUGAUAUGAGAUUCGUCUUGUAUUGCUGGACUAUAUAAGCCCCAGUAAAUGUCAGCGAUAACUAUAAUCGUUCUAAGGUAGAGCGCAUUUGGUUAUAGGUUAAACAGCCUAGCCAUAGUUACCUUACCUAUCGAAAGAUAGAGUAAUCCAAAUCUAGCCAACAAGAGACCAAAUGCUAGAAACCCGAAACAGGCGUAAGUGCUGUGGGUUAAGAUAGAGUCCUAUUGUGAAAUGAUCCAGAGAAGCAAUUCUUUGGGGAGAAGGGAAUAUAGAGCGUAUUUCCUUGUCGGGUAAGUUCCGACGUGCACGAAUGGCGUAACGACUGGGAAACUGUCUCGAGGACCUGCUCGGUGAAAAUACAAUCGCGGUAAAGAUGCCGCGUACCUGCAGAUAGACGAAAAGACCCCAGGUGCUUUACUGUAGCUUCGUAUUGGGGCUAUUGAAUUAAUGCGUAGUAUAGUGGGGAGACUUUGAAGUGGGCUUUCGGGUACCAUGGAGUCGUCAGUGAAAUACCCAUCUUUAUUUUGGUAGUCUCUAACCAGAUAGAAAAAAUCUAUCUGAGACAGUGCGUGGCAGGCAGUUUUAGUGGGGCGCUACCCUCCUAAAGAGUAACGGAG
rnacentral:ncRNA from 1 species